rnacentral:misc_RNA from 1 species
GUGAAUCAUCAAAUUUUUGAACGCAAAUUGCACUCUCUGGUAUUCCGGUGAGUAUGCCUGUUUGAGGGUCAGUUUAAAUAAAAAUCGGUGUGGUUGCUGACUUUCGUGGUGGCGCACCGGAUUUGGGUCGUCUUGCUUUCGGUUAAGUGAUCUAAAAUUUUGCAUGAUUUUUUUCGAACGUAUUUAAUUGUUUUUAGUUUCGUUUGCGAUAUCGAAUAUUAG